GGAAUUGUUCGCAAUGGGCGCAAGCCUGACGACGCAACGCCGCGUGGAGGAUGAAGACCUUCGGGUCGUAAACUCCUUUCGACCGAGAUGAAUACCUGUCGACCUAAUACGUCGCCAGGCUGACAGUAUCGAGGGAAGCAGCCCCGUCUAACUCCGUGCCCGCAGCCGCGGUAAUACGGGGGGGGCAAGCGUUGUUCGGAAUUACUGGGCGUAAAGGGUUCGUAGGUGGCCUGCUAAGUCAGACGUGAAAUCCCCCAGCUCAACUGGGGAACUGCGUCUGAGACUGGUGGGCUUGAGUGCAGGAGAGGAACGCGGAAUCCCAGGUGUAGCGGUGAAAUGCGUAGAUAUCUGGAGGAACACCGGUGGCGAAGGCGGCGUUCUGGACUGUUACUGACACUGAGGAACGAAAGCCAGGGGAGCAAAC
rnacentral:rRNA from 1 species